GUUUGAUUACCUCCACAUCCUUGUUUGAGUCUUCUGACCAAGGAAUCUUGUUGGUUUUGUUCAGUUCUUUCACAGGUUUGUGUUCCAAAAAUGUUAACUGGCUUAGGUCUUUUUUCAUAUGAGCUAUUUCUGAGGAACUGAAAUAUUCUGUUUUCCAAGCAGUUACAUUUUCUAAACUUUCUUUCUCAGUUACUAAAUCCUGGUUUAUCUUUUUAAGCAUACUCAGUUCUUUUACAACACUGUCCAAUUUUAUUCUCAGUUGUCUGACUUCCUCUCGAGCUUUAUUUCUUUCUGCUCUAACUUUGCUCCAUUUCUCCCUCCAAUUAGCAGUACAAUCUGACCACCAGCGCAUAGUUUUCUCCAUUUGGGCAGCUCUGGCUUUGACUUCUUCUAGUUCUCGAAUUCUUACUGCUUCAAAAAUUUCCAAGUCGCUGCAGUAAUUCAUAUGCAUAUAUGUAUAAUGAGGUGAAUAUGGGUAGAAAUUUUGAGAUGGAAAAUUUGAAUUACACAGAUUGUCAUCUGUUUGGCAAAUUUCAUCUAAUUUAUUUGGCUGUCUUGGCUGGGUCCUAAAAAUCUGUCUAUCUUCCAUUAGAUGCUGAACAGAUCCUAUGUUCAUGUUUUGAU
rnacentral:lncRNA from 1 species